rnacentral:misc_RNA from 1 species
GAAAUGCGAUAAGUAAUGUGAAUUGCAGAAUUCAGUGAAUCAUCGAAUCUUUGAACGCACAUUGCGCUCGCCAGUAUUCUGGCGAGCAUGCCUGUUCGAGCGUCAUUUCAACCAUCAAGCUCUGCUUGCGUUGGGGAUCCGCGGCUGCCCUCGGUCCCUCAAAAACAGUGGCGGGCUCGCUAGUCACACCGAGCGUAGUAACUCUACAUCGCUAUGGUCGUGCGGCGGGUUCUUGCCGUAAAACCCCCAAUUUCUAAGGUUGACCUCGGAUCAGGUAGGAAUACCCGCUGAACUUAAGC